rnacentral:tRNA from 1 species
GCGUCGUUAGCGCAAUAGGCAGCGCGUCAGUCUCAUAAUCAAAUCUAGAAAUCUGAAGGUCGUGAGUUCGAUCCCCAGACGGGGCA